CGCGCAUGAAUGGAUUAACGAGAUUCC
rnacentral:ncRNA from 5 species